rnacentral:tRNA from 1 species
UCUAAAUUAGUAUAAUCAGUACAUUUACCUUCCAAGUAAAAAGACUAUAAAUUAGAUUUAGAA